GACGAACGCUGGCGGCGUGCUUAACACAUGCAAGUCGAGCGGAAAGGCCACUUCGGUGGUACUCGAGCGGCGAACGGGUGAGUAACACGUGAGUAAUCUGCCCCUGGCUUUGGGAUAGCCACCGGAAACGGUGAUUAAUACCGGAUAUGACCACGUCUCGCAUGGGGUGUGGUGGAAAGUUUUUCGGCCAGGGAUGUGCUCGCGGCCUAUCAGCUUGAUGGUGAGGUAAUGGCUCACCAUGGCUUCGACGGGUAGCCGGCCUGAGAGGGUGACCGGUCACACUGGGACUGAGACAGUGCCCAGACUCCUACGGGAGGCAGCAGUGGGGAAUAUUGGACAAUGGGCGGAAGCCUGAUCCAGCAACGCCGCGUGAGGGAUGACGGCCUUCGGGUUGUAAACCUCUUUCGCCUAUGACGAAGCGCAAGUGACGGUAAUAGGUAAAGAAGCACCGGCCAACUACGUGCCAGCAGCCGCCGUAACAC
rnacentral:rRNA from 1 species